rnacentral:rRNA from 1 species
CCUACGGGAGGCAGCAGUGAGGAAUAUUGGUCAAUGGCCGAGAGGCUGAACCAGCCAAGUCGCGUGAGGGAAGACGGCCCUACGGGUUGUAAACCUCUUUUGUCGGGGAGCAAAGAGAGUCACGUGUGACUCUUUGAGAGUACCCGAAGAAAAAGCAUCGGCUAACUCCGUGCCAGCAGCCGCGGUAAUACGGAGGAUGCGAGCGUUAUCCGGAUUUAUUGGGUUUAAAGGGUGCGCAGGCGGAGGUGCAAGUCAGCGGUCAAAGUGCGGGGCUCAACCCCGUACUUCCGUUGAAACUGCAUCCCUUGAGUGCGCGAGAGGUAUGCGGAAUGCGUGGUGUAGCGGUGAAAUGCAUAGAUAUCACGCAGAACUCCGAUUGCGAAGGCAGCAUACCGGCGCGCAACUGACGCUCAUGCACGAAAGCGUGGGUAUCGAACAGGAUUAGAUACCCGUGUAGUC